AGCAAAAUUCUGUUUGUUGAACUGGCAUAAGAUACUGACCCAGUCCCAGAGAGCGCUUUCCAGCAUCCACUCUCACCUUUCCAGUCUGGAGAGAGACGCCCUCCCACGCUUUCCAAAGGCAGAGAAGUCACUCAGGGAGGUGCAGCAGAUCCUCAACGCCACUGAGGGCAACUUCCACCAGCUGGUCGCACUUCUCAACUGUCGAGGGCUGAACAAGGAUUAUGUGGACGCUCUGAAAGGCCUGUGCUAUGAUGGGAUGGA